CUCAUAAGUCACAACUCACAAGGGGUUAACAUUGAAGUUGAGAAUGCUCUGAUAAAUCCCACAGAAUCCCCAAUUCAGAUUUCCACGAUCCAAACAGUUUUUGACAAGAUUUGAAAUAGUCAAAUACGCAAGAAUCUCUAGAUCUGCUGCAGAAGAAGAUGGUUUGGGGCUGCUAAUCAGGUUUCGGAUUUUUUAGAACAGGGAAAACUGGGACUAAUCGUCUACUUGGUUUACUCAAUAAUUUCUCUACACUUUUAAUCAACUAGAAGAACUAGGACAAUGAGAUGAGAGGGAAUUUCAAAUCUUGAAGGAAACAUGAUAACGAGUAAUGGGUCAUUGGAUCUCUAAGACGAUCAAGUAAUGUGUCAUUACAAUCUCCAUUAACAACAGAAUUUGAUCAAUCAACGCCACCGGUUACUUACAGGAAGACCUCAAAUUAUGUUUAUCGGUAAAGAGAAGGAUGAGAUGUUCAUGUGGAUCUUCAAAUUCGCAGCUCGAAAGAAGCUUGGAAUGCUGCUCCUGUGUUUUGUUUCAAUAGCAGUCGUGUUGUGGAUACUUUAUGUCGGCAAGGGUGAGGUUACACAAGAAUUUGGCUCUGUGAGGAGCUUAGGGUUCAUAAACAUUUCAACUGUAGGAUUUUCUGGACAUUCUUCACCUAAUGAUGAAAUAAAGAUUACCAUUUAUAAUGAUAAAAAAAUUACAAGUCAAUCUCCUCCACCUCCUAUUUAUAAUACCGGAUAUACCCUUCUUCCUGGGAACCCUUGUGAGACCUUUACAUUGCCUCCACCACCAGCUGAUAAAAAAAGAAUUGGGCCACGUCCAUGUCCUGUGUGUUAUCUUCCUGUGGAAGAAGCAAUUAAAUUGAUGCCAAAAGCGCCUUCAUUUUCUCCUAUUCUCCAAAAUCUGACUUACAUUCAUGAAGAGAAUUCAACUAAAAGUGAGUUUGGAGGCUCGGUUUUUGGUGGGUAUCCUUCUUUAAAGCAGAGGCUUGAAUCUUAUGAUGUUAAAGAGUCGAUGAAGAUUCAUUGUGGAUUUGUCAGAGGAGAUAAACCAGGACACAAUACAGGAUUUGACAUCAAUGAUUCAGAUCUUUUUGAGAUGAAUCAAUGUCAAGGAGUUCUUGUUGCAUCUGCAAUAUUUGGAGCAUAUGAUUUGAUUCAACAACCAAAGAACAUCAGUGAAGCUUCAAAGAAAAACGUUUGCUUUUUCAUGUUUAUCGAUGAACAAACACAAAAAUUUCUUAAAAAUUCAAGUGAUUUAAAUGAUAACAAGAAAAUAGGGUUAUGGAAAAUCAUUGUUGUCCAUAAUCUACCAUACACAGACCCCAGACGUAAUGGAAAGAUACCAAAGCUUCUACUACAUAGGCUUUUCCCAAAUGUUAGGUAUUCUUUAUGGGUGGAUGCAAAACUUGAGCUUGUUGUGGAUCCUUAUCAAAUUCUUGAAAGGUUUUUGUGGAGGAAAAAUACGAGUUUUGCAAUAUCUAGGCAUUAUAAACGGUUUGAUGUGUUUGUAGAAGCUGAAGCUAAUAAAGCAGCUGCAAAAUAUGACAACGCCUCCAUUGACUUUCAAGUUGACUUUUAUAAAACUGAGGGUUUGACCCCAUAUUCUGAGUCAAAGCUUCCGAUUACAAGUGAUGUUCCUGAAGGAUGUGUGGUAAUACGAGAACAUAUUCCAAUUUCAAAUCUUUUCACAUGUUUAUGGUUUAAUGAAGUUGAUCGAUUCACUUCAAGAGAUCAAAUUAGUUUUUCCACUGUAAGAGAUAAAAUCAUGUUCAACACAAAUUGGACUCUUUAUAUGUUCUUGGAUUGUGAAAGGCGAAACUUUGUUGUUCAGGGAUACCACCGAGACAUUUUGGAACAUUGGGCACCACCACCCCAUCCAACUUUUCAACUUGACGUUUCUAGUCCCUCACCUUCUCCCAUCCCCUUUGAUGAAACACCCAAACAAAUUGUUACUAGACGCCGUAGGGAUAGAAAAUCAAGUCGCAUCAACCGUAAAAUUCAUGUAAAAAGUCAAACUCAAAGUCAAAGCUAAAUUCUUAUAGAGAAAAAAGGCAAAUUUUUUUGUUUGUUACCCGAAUACAAAUUAUUGUAGGGCCCGCGAAAAUCCGUGGAAGAGGAAUGUUGUUCAAAAAAGAGAAAGAAGGUGAUCACGCUUGAGCAUGCAAGGGUGUGCUUGUUUGAGUUGUAAGUUGUGUAAUGGUCAUGGGGCUAAGGGGCUUGAGCUAAAUGCUUUAUGGAUGUGUGGACCCCAUACGUGCUAAAAUGCCAAUAUGGACUUUUUGGGAGAUGGUGUUACAUAAAGUGUGAUGCAUAGUUAAAAGAUAGUGUUAAGAAAUUUUGUUACAAAAAGGUUAAUGUUAGGAUGAAACUUUAGAUUUAAUGAUGUUUAGAAAUCAUAUACGUAAGCUGCCAUGAGUAGUCAGCUUCUUUUUUCCUUAUGAAUGUCUAGUCUUGUUUAAUAAAAAUCUUUGAAUGUGUAAUGA